ACCGAGGGGGAGAGGGAGCUACUUGUUGAAGGAGUUCAUAUGCGACACGAUCGCUGUUUUGGAAAAUUCAAGGGGUGCGGCAUUGGCGCAAAGAACAAGGAGCAGUCGUCGGGAGCAGAUUACCGAGGUCCUAAAUGCAUGGGGAUUCAGCUGCAGUUUUACUCCUAGAAGCAGUGACACCAACAGAAAGUGCCUUUUGUGACAAUGUGUUGCAGGGACAGGAGCAUGGAUGUCUUAAUAUCCCUGGUUGGGAUACUACAUACAGCGCCAAAAGUAACCGAGGCCUCAACAUGUACAAG